rnacentral:rRNA from 1 species
AACCCCUGUGACAUACCAAUUGUUGCCUCGGCGGAUCAGCCCGCUCCCGGUAAAACGGGACGGCCCGCCAGAGGACCCCUAAACUCUGUUUCUAUAUGUAACUUCUGAGUAAAACCAUAAAUAAAUCAAAACUUUCAACAACGGAUCUCUUGGUUCUGGCAUCGAUGAAGAACGCAGCAAAAUGCGAUAAGUAAUGUGAAUUGCAGAAUUCAGUGAAUCAUCGAAUCUUUGAACGCACAUUGCGCCCGCCAGUAUUCUGGCGGGCAUGCCUGUUCGAGCGUCAUUUCAACCCUCAAGCCCCCGGGUUUGGUGUUGGGGAUCGGCGAGCCCUUGCGGCAAGCCGGCCCCGAAAUCUAGUGGCGGUCUCGCUGCAGCUUCCAUUGCGUAGUAGUAAAACCCUCGCAACUGGUACGCGGCGCGGCCAAGCCGUUAAACCCCCAACUUCUGAAUGUUGACCUCGGAUCAGGUAGGAAUACCCGCUGAACUUAAGCAUAUC